UCGAGAGGAUGAGGUGAUCGCGGUCGGACCCCUCGGGGUCGCAGAUCGAGGAAAGUCCGGGCUCCAAAGGGCAGGGUGCUUGCGAAAUGCAAGUCGGGGCGACCCGCAGGAAAGUGCCACAGAAAGCAAACCGCCGGCGUACGCGUCGGUAAGGGUGAAAGGGUGCGGUAAGAGCGCACCGGGCCCCCGGUGACGGGGGUCGCAGGGUAAACCCCACUCGGAGCAAGGCCGAACAGAGCCGCUCGCUGGACCCUCGGGGAAGGCGAGCUAGGGUAGCCCGCCCUCGUGCUCGGGUAGUGCCGCGAAGAAGAAUGAUCACCACCCGGGGGAGGCGACGAACUCGGGGACAGGACCCGGCUUACGACCCUCUCGCCCGC
rnacentral:RNase_P_RNA from 1 species